rnacentral:snoRNA from 1 species
AGACCAUGACGUGGGCAUCUCCGAAGCAAGUCCUUAUACAUCUCCCAUGCUUCAUACAAAGACUCAGAAUCCAACUGCAUGAAAAAAGUAAUAUCGUUCCCUAUCUUU